rnacentral:rRNA from 1 species
UACGUAGGUGGCAAGCGUUGUCCGGAAUUAUUGGGCGUAAGGCGCGCGCAGGCGGUUCUUUAAGUCUGAUGUGAAAUCCCACGGCUCAACCGUGGAAGGUCAUUGGAAACUGGGGGACUUGAGUACAGAAGAGGAAAGCGGAAUUCCAAGUGUAGCGGUGAAAUGCGUAGAGAUUUGGAGGAACACCAGUGGCGAAGGCGGCUUUCUGGUCUGUAACUGACGCUGAGGCGCGAAAGCGUGGGGAGCAAACAGG